rnacentral:rRNA from 1 species
CCCAGACAGCCAGGAUGUUGGCUUAGAAGCAGCCAUCAUUUAAAGAAAGCGUAAUAGCUCACUGGUCGAGUCGGCCUGCGCGGAAGAUGUAACGGGGCUAAACCAUGCACCGAAGCUGCGGCAGCGACACUCAUGUGUUGUUGGGUAGGGGAGCGUUCUGUAAGCCUGUGAAGGUGGCCUGUGAGGGUUGCUGGAGGUAUCAGAAGUGCGAAUGCUGACAUAAGUAACGAUAAAGCGGGUGAAAAGCCCGCUCGCCGGAAGACCAAGGGUUCCUGUCCAACGUUAAUCGGGGCAGGGUGAGUCGACCCCUAAGGCGAGGCCGAAAGGCGUAGUCGAUGGGAAACGGGUUAAUAUUCCCGUACUUGGUGUUACUGCGAAGGGGGGACGGAGAAGGCUAUGUUGGCCGGGCGACGGUUGUCCCGGUUUAAGCGUGUAGGUGUGUGUUCCAGGUAAAUCCGGUUCACUUUAACACUGAGGCGUGACGACGAGGCACUACGGUGCUGAAGCAACAAAUGCCCUGCUUCCAGGAAAAGCCUCUAAGCAUCAGGUAACAUCAAAUCGUACCCCAAACCGACACAGGUGGUCAGGUAGAGAAUACCAAGGCGCUUGA